CAAACAUUACGGGCAGCCCGAUUCCGCCUAAAUUACAUCCAGCUCCAUCGCCUUGGCCUUCCCCCACAUUCCCGAGGCAAGUAUGUCGCAUGAUGGUUUAGUGACAGGUGUUAAGAAUGUCAGUUUGAACACCACGGAUGUGAACAUCAACCCCAGAAGUUGUACCUGCCCGCAGUCUGACCCUUUGCUCAGUGGGAGAGUCGAAGUGGUCAUCUUAUUGCUGGUGUUCACUCUGGGGGUGGUUGGCAAUUUAGUUGUGCUGCUGGUGGUUGGCUGUCCACGCUACCAGAAAGGAUCGCUGGACAUUUACCUGUGGAACCUGGCCAUCAAUGACCUCGUGUCUGCCCUCUCUUUGGCCACCUGGGCCAUCGAGUCUCCUCCUGGAUUUUUGGAGACCUUGCCUGCAAAAUACUGUCAGCCCAGAGAGACCAGAGCAUGUAUACGGGGGUCUUGCUUCUGUUUAGUGUCUGCGUGCAAACGGCGACCACGGUGAACAGGCCCCUUCUGUGCGUGUUCGCCCUUGCUGUUUGGGGUCUUGCUCGCUCUUCCCGCUGUUCUUUUCAACAAGACGACCCAGCUCUUGGCUCAGCUGUCAGUCUGCCACCUUCAGGAGAGCAGAGUCCUGCGAUUUCCAUUCAGCCUGUUCAGAAACCUAUUUGGACUGGUUACUCCCUUGUUGUUGUUCAUCUUUGUUGGUGUGGCCUAUGACAGGUUGAGGAAAGCCGAAUUUAAGACGAAGAAGGAGAAGGUUCUUAUUCUGUCUUUGACACUGGCAUUUGCGGUAUUCCGGAGUCCCUGUUACGGAAGCAUGUUUAUAAAGGCAUUGCAAAGCUCA